UAAAAACCAUUUUCUUUCUUUCUUUGAAGUUGCGCCGUAUCUCUGCCCUCAAAACCCUUCCCCUGCUCCAAUGGCAACGAAAUGAAGGGGCUUCAACGAUGCCACUCCGGUAAGUUUCCCUCUACUCCCUUUCUUUAUUCUUUUUUUUUUGUUUUUAUAAACGAAAGAAAAACAAAAACAAAGUAAAAACAGUAAAAAACAAAAGGAAAAACAAAAUCUAACACCUUCAAAAAUAAGUUUUUCUACUGUAAUUUCUUUUUUAAUUUUCAAUACAAAAUUUUGCUAACCCCCAUUACAUAAAUCCAUCCGCUUUUUAUAUCCCCUAUCCCUUUUUACAAUUUUCUGUCUGUACUCCUAUUUGGAUCUAUUUUUCCGCAGGUAUGGAGAUCGUGAAAGGGGUGCGUCGGGGUUGCUGAACGUGCGAGCAACGACGUGCGUGGAAACGGUUGUUGCGACGCCAAAGCUAGGAAGAAGACUGCUGCUAAGGUUUGUUGUUCUUUGAAAAUUUUGGGCUGUACAGGGUUAUUGAUUUGGGCUUUAUUGGGUUAGGUUAAAUUUAGUUUUAGGCUAAUGUAAUUGGGUUACAAUUUGGGCUUGUUAUUUGUUUUUUUAACCAAGACAAAAUUGGCCUAUUACAUUAGGCAUGAUUCUUAUCUAGUGAAUACUACUCUAAAAAAGAAGCAGUGUUCUUAUCUCCCAAUAGAUAAAUGAUUUUUAAUAUACCAACCACUUUGUAGAGACCUUUAAUUGGUGCUUCAAGAUAUAUAUAACUAACUAUAUUCCUAAUCUUUCUUCUAGUACACUUACUAAAUGAUGAACUUAAUUGAUGAUUCUUGUAUGCAAAUCAUAUUUCAUAUCGUAUUAUUUUUAUAAAUCUUUAUCCCAAAUAUGACUACAAUUAUUCUCACUUCUAACCUCAGUUUAAGUCUUUAAUGGCUUUUAAUGGAGCUUGGAGCAAUGUGAUCUGAAGAAUGAUUUGAAGAUUACUGCCAUAUUCAUAUUGUACCCAUGAUAAACACUUCUUUACCUCGA
rnacentral:lncRNA from 1 species